UGGGGUUAGGGUCGGCAACGCGCAUGUAACACCUCUGGAGUUGCAGGCGUCCAUAGGCUACGGUGACUGCUUACCAUCAGGCGGCCCGUAUGCUUGUUUGCCACCUAUGUGGUAUAAAAAAAAAAAAAAUGCCAAUACUUAAAUAUG